CGGGCGACGGUUGUCCCGGUUUAAGCGUGUAGGCUGGUUUUCCAGGCAAAUCCGGAAAAUCAAGGCUGAGGCGUGAUGACGAGGCACUACGGUGCUGAAGCAACAAAUGCCCUGCUUCCAGGAAAAGCCUCUAAGCAUCAGGUAACAUCAAAUCGUACCCCAAACCGACACAGGUGGUCAGGUAGAGAAUACCAAGGCGCUUGAGAGAACUCGGGUGAAGGAACUAGGCAAAAUGGUGCCGUAACUUCGGGAGAAGGCACGCUGAUAUGUAGGUGAAGCGACUUGCUCGUGGAGCUGAAAUCAGUCGAAGAUACCAGCUGGCUGCAACUGUUUAUUAAAAACACAGCACUGUGCAAACACGAAAGUGGACGUAUACGGUGUGACGCCUGCCCGGUGCCGGAAGGUUAAUUGAUGGGGUUAGCGGUAACGCGAAGCUCUUGAUCGAAGCCCCGGUAAACGGCGGCCGUAACUAUAACGGUCCUAAGGUAGCGAAAUUCCUUGUCGGGUAAGUUCCGACCUGCACGAAUGGCGUAAUGAUGGCCAGGCUGUCUCCACCCGAGACUCAGUGAAAUUGAACUCGCUGUGAAGAUGCAGUGUACCCGCGGCAAGACGGAAAGACCCCGUGAACCUUUACUAUAGCUUGACACUGAACAUUGAGCCUUGAUGUGUAGGAUAGGUGGGAGGCUUUGAAGUGUGGACGCCAGUCUGCAUGGAGCCGACCUUGAAAUACCACCCUUUAAUGUUUGAUGUUCUAACGUUGGCCCCUGAUCGGGGUUGCGGACAGUGUCUGGUGGGUAGUUUGACUGGGGCGGUCUCCUCCUAAAGAGUAACGGAGGAGCACGAAGGUUGGCUAAUCCUGGUCGGACAUCAGGAGGUUAGUGCAAUGGCAUAAGCCAGCUUGACUGCGAGCGUGACGGCGCGAGCAGGUGCGAAAGCAGGUCAUAGUGAUCCGGUGGUUCUGAAUGGAAGGGCCAUCGCUCAACGGAUAAAAGGUACUCCGGGGAUAACAGGCUGAUACCGCCCAAGAGUUCAUAUCGACGGCGGUGUUUGGCACCUCGAUGUCGGCUCAUCACAUCCUGGGGCUGAAGUAGGUCCCAAGGGUAUGGCUGUUCGCCAUUUAAAGUGGUACGCGAGCUGGGUUUAGAACGUCGUGAGACAGUUCGGUCCCUAUCUGCCGUGGGCGCUGGAGAACUGAGGGGGGCUGCUCCUAGUACGAGAGGACCGGAGUGGACGCAUCACUGGUGUUCGGGUUGUCAUGCCAAUGGCACUGCCCGGUAGCUAAAUGCGGAAGAGAUAAGUGCUGAAAGCAUCUAAGCACGAAACUUGCCCCGAGAUGAGUUCUCCCUGAGACUUUAAGUCUCCUGAAGGAACGUUGAAGACGACGACGUUGAUAGGCCGGGUGUGUAAGCGCAGCGAUGCGUUGAGCUAACCGGUACUAAUGAACCGUGAGGCUUAACCUU
rnacentral:rRNA from 1 species